CAGAUCACUUAGUUCUACUGCUCACUUAGCAUUGUCCCACUAGCACGUUUUGGAAAUGAAGAAUGGAACGCURGUUUUACUUGUAUURAGUUUCUGCAUUGCAUUUUCCCAUGCAUUUAUGUGUACCAAUAUGCAACAUUGUUCGAAGCUGAACACAAAGAAAGUMGUCGAUCAGCCUUCUACAAGGAGAAUAUCAAGCAACAAACAUCUAGUUGUUUGUAAUAAUGGAAGAGACUUGUGUAUCGAGCCGGAAAAGAGAGCUCUCCAUCAGAAAACAAGGGAAGAGACACAAGGGAGGAAACCCCGAAUAGACAGGCUACUACAACGGCUACGUUAUUUCCGAAAUUCUCGCCGUCAGAGAUAAUAAAACAUUAGGAAUUUAAUAAUUAAAUAAAUGCUAAGACACUAAGGAACCAAGAGACUGAGAGAGAAAGGUAAAUUGUUUCUCAACGUGAUUUAACUUCCCGUCCUUCUUCGCGUUGGUGUUGUUAAAUAMAUAUGCUCCCUUUGGAUGUGACAGUUUCAAAAUCAUAAAACCCGCUUGUAAAAUUAUUGAAACUUUAAACUAAGUGAGCUAUAGUUGUAUAAAUCUAUUUUAAAUACAUUUCCAAUGUCAUUGUGUCGUUACAAAGCCAUGAAUUAAAAGGAUUUCACUUGA